UUGAGAUAAUUGGCUAUGGUCUAGGUGAGUGCACUACCUGCUCAAACAGGCUUCGGAUCACACACGAGCAGCUUACUGGUUGCUAUUCUGAACAAAGAUGUCAUUAGGAAGUUGCUGAUCUUGUAUGAUGGUAGUGGAAAAUAAAGACAUCUAUAGGUCUGAAAACUGCCAUUUCACCGAACUGAAGAGGUGGUAGGUAAUAUAGUACCUGUGGAAAGUUUGUAAAUCCAGCUUUACACUGCAAAUUUAGGCCCAAUUUUGCUGUCGCAGACAAAAAUGGUAUGUCUUAAAAAUAUUUGGGGAUCAUGAGUUGAGAAUGGAAGUCUUAGGACACACAAUGUGAUGUGUUUACCUGCAGCUGAUUUAGUGUCACUAUGAUUACUAAAAAAGCAUAUGACUUUGUAAGAAAAUUUAUUAAUUUCUGCUCGUGACUGCUGCUAUGACGCUCAUCUAAAAGCGACUGAUCAAAGGACCGCAUAGGUGUCACGAAUCGUGACGGAGCAGAGAUAGGACGGAUGCAAGUGCAGGAUGAACAGUUGUUUAUUUGAAAGACAGACAGACAAAUCCAAAACGUGAUCCAAAACGUAAUCCAUAAACAUGCAAGAGGUCAGGCGAUUGGCAAACAGGCAUACACGGGGCAAGGCAGGAAUCUAGGUCGUGGUCACGGAAAACAGGGUCGAUAAACAAAACAAGAAACGAACUAUGACGAGGGACUGGAAGCGGAUAAUCCGGCGCGAACUAACUCUAAACAUGGACCGUGACUAUGACUAUGAUACGAGCUAAACUAACUCUAAACAUUUACUCUUCCGCGUUGUGUGCUGGGAGGCACGCCGUAUAUAUGCGGACAUAAUCAGCGUCUAAACCGCUAGCAGCUGAGAGCAAUUCAGACCCACGUGAAAUCCCAGCCAAUGACAGAACAGGGAGGUGACAGAAACAUAAACAAAACACACGUGUCCAGAUGUCAUUACAACCCACGUGAAAUCCCAGCCAAUGACAGAACAGGGAGGAGACAGCAACAUAAACAAAACACACGUGUCCAGAUGUCAUUACAGUCAACAACGGAAAAGCAGGUGCUCGCGCAUUCGCGCUUAGAGCACGCUGCUUCAAG
ensembl:lncRNA